GUCAAUGGUGAAGCAAGAGCUAGAGGUGAAAGAGUGAGAGGAAGAGGAGGACGAGGAAGGACAGUUGUCUCAGAUGAGAUCAGGGCCACAUUAGUUGACCAUGUACUCAACCAUGGAUUGAGUAUGAGGGAGGCUGGGCAGAGAGUUCAGCCCAACCUGAGCCGCUACACAGUUACAUCUAUCAUCCGUACAUUCAGAAAUGAGAACUGAACUGAGAAACGGUCAGGCCAUGGUGGAAGACACCGGCUGUUCACGCCAGAACAGGAGAACGCUAUUGUGAACAUGGUGGUGGCAAACAAUACCAUUAGAUUACGAGAAAUCUAGAACCACAUAAUUGCAGACAACACAAUAUUCAAUAACAUUCACCAGGUAGGCUUGUCUUCAUUGGACUGUCUUACAGCGGUACCGAACCCGGAUGAAACCGGUCUACAGGGUGCCAUUUGAGCGAAACUCAGAGAGGGUUAAAGAACAGUACUAUGAAUAUAUGCAAGUCUACGUCACAUAUUGUCGAUUCAGAGUCUUGGAGCUGGAUGCCGCUGUAAUUCAGCAAGUUUAUAUUUACAUUGAUGAGGCUGGCUUCAACCUAACCAGAAGAAGGGGACGGAACAUUAUUGGCCACCGUGCCAUAGUGAAUGUCCCUGGACAGCGUGGAGGGAAUAUCACCAUGUGUGCAGCCGUUAGCCAGCAAGGCGUCCUCCAUCACCAUGCCAACCUUGGUUUACAACAUGUUUACAACACCGCUAUUCUCAUCACAUUCCUGGACACACGACAUCAUCAUUCCAGCCGAGCAGAGGGGUGGACCAGAGCAGCCCAGGUAUGUUGUCAUCUGAGACAAUGUGAGUKUCCACCAGGCUGCUCUGGUCUGCAAAUGGUUCAUCAACCACCCACAAUUUAUUGUUCUAUACCUCCCAUCAUAUUCCCCAUUCCUAAACCCAAUUGAAGAGUUUUUAUUCGGCAUGGCGAUGGAAGGUGUAUGUGGUGAAGUUGAUGUGGGUGCUUUCGGAGUCUGGAUCCGUCACUCCAGAAGAUUCUUUCCCCGCUGUUUAGCCAGGGAGAACAUCGCUUGUGAUGUAGAUGAGGUGCUGUGGCCAGACCAAAAUAGGAGGCAGGACGCAGCCUAAUGUCUUUUUUCUUACAUUUUGCAUGUGUUUUUGUGUUUAGAGUUUUGAAAGAAUGAGCCACUUAAAUUUUUUAUUUUUGUACAGAAAACCCUUUAUCUGACUGAAUGGUUUUCUCCUGUUGGAUAUGGACAUGCG